rnacentral:lncRNA from 1 species
AGUGGAGGAAGCAAACCCUCCUGCCAACAGCCCCGGGUCUGAGCUUGAGCUUGGAGGUGGGCAGCCCAGCCUCAGACGACCGCGACCCCAGCCGACUGCUUGACCACAGCCUCAUGAGGAACCCUGGGCCAGAACCACCCGCUAAACCCCUCUCAGCUUCCUCAACCUCAGAAACCGGGCCCGCUAAUGCUCGGAGACAGGAAGAGGCAGACUCAGAGGCUCCGGUGGGAUGGGGCCACCUCUCCUCACCAGCAAGGAGGUAAAGAGCAGAAGCUCAAAGUCCUCAGCUCACAUUCCACCCGGAACGGUGUCGCUAAGACUAACAGGAUGCAUCAGUGCUUGUCUUUUCCAGAAACCAACCAGCCACAUAAGAAAUCUUUAAUUAACAAACAUAUUUAUAAGAGUGGAAAAAAUCAGAUCAGUGGGAAUGAAGCAACUGACCCGAGUUCUUCCCUGGCCGCCCGGGAGAAGAUGAUGGAGACAGCACGUAACAUUCUGUUCCUCUGCUUUGCUCAUCUCCAGGCUGUCGGGAUGAUGGAAAAAGUGCAUCUUACCCUGAAGCAUCUCCAACAAUGGCAAUGGCCAAAGCCUCUUCCAGUCUCUGCCAAAUUCCACCUGCAAGAAGCUCUCCAUGUCGUCUGAGUCCCCCAGGAGCUGCCCACCCAGCCACGACACUGAGGAGAAGGAGCAGGCAGAGGCAAACGAGGCUCGCGGUGGGUCGUGACUUGUGCACGGCCACACAGCUGCCGAGAACAAGACGGGGCGAACCAGGAAGUCAGACAGCAGGCUGUCUACGCAGAACCUCUUCAUCAGCAUGGCAUGCUGCCCUCUAACAUGCUGCAGACAACGUCUAGCUUCGUCUUAGCACACAGGAGGCCCAUGAAGCAACCUUCUCAUUAAUCUCUCCACUCUCUCGUCCAACAGGGAAAAGUGAGGGCCAUUUCAGGGAGCAGAGAGGUUUCAGAUGAUGACUGACAGAAUUUUAGAGUCAGCCUGGCCCGGGAGAAAGUGCAAAGUCUCUAGAGUCAGGCAGUCAGGGUCCACACCUCAGCCCACCUACUUUCUGUGGGGGGAGUCAGUUGUGAGGUCUCAAUAAGAGACCAAUGUAUGCAAAGCACCUGACACAUAGUAGGUAUUAAAUAAUAGCAAUAGCAAUAACCACAUUUAUACAGGGCUGUUGAUGUGCCAGGCACCAUUCUGAGCCCGUCAUUUAUGUUAACUCCUAAUCCUCACAUCGACUGUAAGAGGCAAUAGCAAUAUUCUCCCAUUUGAUAGAUGAGGAAACUGAGGCACAAAAAAGAUUAAGAAACUUGCAUAGU